CCGUGUCUGUAAGUGGAAGCGCAUUCUGGAUAUGCGUUUUCGAUAUACGAAAGCGUAUUUGCUUCCUCUUUUACCUGAAAUACGCUUUCUUAGUUCUGAAAGCGUAUUCGAUUUACACUUCGACACAAAAUAUGUUUCUCUUUGCAGAAAACGUAUUCGACCCAAAGGCGCGUUCAGUUUUUCCUCCAGGGGCCUGUUUGCUAAAAAAUCACCGAUAGGUCCCUGAGCUUCAACCCUUCGUAUCUCGACAACCGUAACUCCGAUUGAGGUGAUUCCAACGCUCACGUUCUCUGUUCGUCGAGCUUUUUCCGUUGGUGUCAUUUUCAUAAUGUUUUCACACAGUGAAAAUGACCACUUUGCCUUGCCCGUAAACAGCCCCCUCCAAGAGAGAACUGUUUCCGCAAUCGUUUCACACUUCUUCCCGAAGUAUUUGUCGACCCCAGGCAAGCCAACCUCUUAUCAUGAGCCCCGAACUUGCAUGUUGACUUUGCUUGCACCUCGUGUGUCUGUUUAGUUGUAGCACUUUCUUGUCUGUUCCGUCUGCUGUUAUUUUAGUCAUGCUAUAUGUUUUUGUUAUCUGUCUUGCAUGCUUAUACCUUCAUGAAAUAAGUUGACAUGCUAGUUUGCUGUUGUUACUGAUAAUAUCAUGCCUCUGUCUAGUUUAAUUUCAUGUUAGUAGUAUCGAUGUUAUGAUAUUCUGUUGCACUAGUGAAAUUACUAGUACUUGUUAUUGCCAUGUUUCGCAUGCUAUCAUUGUUCAUUUGAAAAAGCUUGAUUUUGUUACUGCAUCGGUACGUUGCAUGAUAGUUGUUGCAUUCAUGUUAAAAUGCUCGCAUGAUGAUUAAUGAUGGAGAAGUUAUUAAUAUGACUUAAUAUCAAACCUCCUCCGUCAUCACUGGGAUAUUAUAGUGCCACCAAAUCGAGCAUUCUCUAGUGCAACCACAUUUACCUUGUGGGAGGUCCUAGCUGGGUUUAUUGCCAUGCCUCUCGCCGGUGCCUCCAACUAGGGAAGGUAUGGGUGCGCAUUACCCUGAUCAGGUAGGUGGACAUAAGCCUUGUGUGCCCGGGUUUGGUUUUGAGCUCAUGUCCCCGUUUGGGACCGUUUUGCCAUGACGGUGGCCGUUCGUACCUUUGGUAGGUACGGGGCCACCCAGGACUGAACCCAAAAGGGGUGUUGGUCAAAGUGGCCGGGAGAGUGUCAUGGCAGUAGGUGAGUUUUGUCGGAACAUUGUUGGUCCACAUUAUGGGAGUGCGAAGCCAUGGGUUCCGUGGUGUGGGUAAAUUGCGCUACCUCUGUAGAGUGUAUGUUUAAUCUAUCGAUAGCCGCGUCCUCGGUCAUGGGCACAAGUUCGUAGUAGGUCACACUAUCGGGUAUUGGUCGAAGUGGAGGAUAAACCUGAAAUAACUAAGUUGAUGAUUAAUGUGCAAUAAAAGAAUGUGAUGACUUGGACUAUGGGAAAAUCAUGAGAAGUCACGAUGAUGUGUUGAUAUGACCCCGAGAUGAGGUCUCGGUAAGUCAUGAGUUUGCUCCGGGGAGCCGUGGCAGAGUAAGUGAUUGUUGCAUCAGGUUAAUACAAUAUGUCUUCACGGGAGGUAACUCGUAGUUUAUUUUUAGCAUUCUUUCAUGAUGCCAUGCCAUGUUUUGGAUAUGAUAUGUGUCGGCGUUCUGGGAACAUGGGUCCCCAGACUUGCCUGCCUACGGCCCACGGCGUGGCUAAGUCAGCAGGCCGUACGACCCAUCUUCAUCAACAAGGCAUCCAACACCCUCGUGAGGGGCCAAUCCUCGCGAGGCGGAUGAUGCAAGACCUCCUCAGCAGUGGUCUAGUAAGGCAGGCUCACGAAGAGUGGAGAUAUCAAGGCAGGGCAAACCUCAUGAGGCUCUUGUGACGUGAGCCAUGACGAUCGGCACCAGGCAGGCACCAGCGCGCGCAGCAUCCUUGUUUCCUCUUCGGUGCUAAGGACGCAAGCGCAGGCGAAGAGUACUGAGGCAUCAGGCAAAGGUUGCUAUAUUAGUGCAACGAGACCAAGACCAGGAGGACGGCAAGACGGAGGUCAUCGUGGAGCCCAGGACGGCGUCACCACCAGAGCCUUUCGCAGGCGAAGACCACUUUUGUCAGGAUAGCUUGUACUAGCUGUCCCCCUUCAAAUUUGCCCGCCGUUGUUGGCUCCCUUCCCGCUCAACAUUUGGGAAGAGGACCAGGGCCUAUAUAAGUAGAGCUAGCCACCAAAGUAGGGGCAUCGAGCAGUUCAUCCAGCUCUCACCCGCUAAGUCACCAAGCACACGAACACCUCAACCUCAGGAGGUUGUUCCUUCCCUUGUACUGUUCAUCUUUGGCCCAAGAGGCAAUCCAUCCACCACCACACUAGAGUAGGGUAUUACACCACAAUGGUGGCCCGAACCAGUAUAAAUCUCGUGUCUCUUUGUGUUGCGAGUUCGUCGAGUUCAUCCGCGAGAUCUUAGUGAGCUAGGGCGUAGAUCGGUCGGAGGGAAAGACUUCGCGCGCACCCUAGUGUUCGAACCUUAAGAGUUUGCCGGAACCCCAUAUCCGACAUUUGGCGCGCCAGGUAGGGGUGCACCGUAGCUUCCCUUCCAUCAGUUCGUCGCUCUGUCGUCUCCAUGGCGGACGCUCGCCGUGCUCGAGCUGAGCAUCGGCUGCCCUCACCGCCCGCGUUGCUCAAACGGCUCCCGUCGGUGGGCCACCUCGUCGUUCUCUGUCUCCCGCUGCCAACGCUGCCACCGGUCCGGUGGGGAACGAGCAGCAGGCAUCCUCGUUGCAUCCAUCAGUCCGGCAGGACGGCCGCACCGCCACUCCAUCGCUGGCCCCGGCCGGUUCUUCGUCUCACGCACGCCGCGCUCCCAUGGAGGCGCGGGCCGCACUCCUCGUUGCAAACGAACUCCUGUGCUACCGCCAAGUCGACGACCUCUACGAGGAAUGGCUCGACCGCGUCGCCGAGCUCAUCCGCGCCACAGGGGGCUCUCCAGCGUCGUCCCUCUCUCUACCUCACCCUCAGCCAGCCACGGGCGAUGAGGCUCAUGGCACGCCUCCGCCACCUCUGCCCCAAGACGGUGCCUUGGCACCAAGGCAUGCGGCCCCGCGGCGUGAUCCACCACGCCCGGUGCCCGCGCGCAAAGAAAGAAGCUGCCAAGAAAUCCCUCGGCUGCGAGAAGCUGCACCCGCGCUCCCCGUGCCACCUCGUCAAGACCGCGCACCGCCAGCGGCGGCGCCGCGCGGACCUCGUCAAGACCAAGCUUCACCUCCGAAGUGGGCCCCAGCAACCACGGCCGGCUGCCGUGCCUUCACCCCCGAGCUGUGUAGCAUCGCCUGGCCAGGCAAGUUCAAGCCGGAUCUGCCUCCUCGCUACGACGGCACUGCCGACCCCGCGGAGUUCCUGCAGCUCUAUGAGCUAAGCAUCGAAGCAGCCAACGGCGAUGAGAAACUCAUGGCGAACUGGUUUCCCAUGGCUCUCAAGGAUGGAGCCCGCUCCUGGCUCCUGGACCUGCAGCACGGCUCGAUCUUCUCCUGGGACGAAAUGCGCGACCGCUUCGUCGCCAACUUCCAGGGCACUCGCGACCGCUCGCCGGCCGCGGGUGACCUGUGCCGCAUCAAGCAACAACCAAGAGAGACCCUUCAGAAGUACAUCUAGCGCUUCAACAACACCCACCUCAAGAUCCCCAAGGUCACGGAUGAGGCCAUCAUCUCUGCAUUCUCCGACGGCGUCCGUGAUGUCAAGAUGAAGGAAGAGCUCGCUAUCCACGAGGAGCUCUGCACCUCUCAGGAGCUGUUCAACCUGGCGACCAAGUGCGCAAGAGCUGAGGAGGGGCGCCUCUCUCUCCUUGAGCUGCCAGCCACGGGCGCAAAGGAGAAGAAAGCCAAGGCCAAGGAUGUGAAGCGCAAGGAAGCAGCAAUGCUAGCAGCGGAGCCCGACACCAAGCGGGGCAGGGAUCAGCCCGGGUCGUCCAAGAACAGCCAACCGUUCUGCGCCUUCCACAACCUAAACACCCACAACACCAGCGACUAUCAAGAGCUCAGAGCCAUAUGAGAAGGAUCCUUCGGUCGACGCCCCGAGCGCAGCAACCGGGGCUACGGCCGAGGAGGAGGACGUGGAGGCAGAUGCUGGGACGACCGUGGCCCAUGCCAGGAAUGGCGCGACAGGCCUCGUGAGGACCACUGGCAGGACCAUCCUCGCGAGGGGGCCUGGAGGGACCAGCCUCGUGAGGAUCGCCCCCAAAGCAACGCCGGUCUUCCCUCACUGCCGCCACCAAGAAGGAACGACGACCACCAUCAGGAUGAGGGGGUUGGGGGCUUCCAGGAGCCGCGUGCAAUCGCCUGCAUCUUGGGCGGCACCCAGGCCCCAGCCUCUCAGCGCAUCUUCAAACAGUUCGUUCGCGAGGUGAACGCGGUGCUCCCCAAGCUCGAGGCCACGCGCCCGCUCAAGUGGUCCCAAUGCGCCAUCACUUUCAACUCGGCAGAUCAGCUCAAGUGCGCGGCCACCGCCGGCGCCCUCCCUAUGUUGUGUUCCCCAGUCAUCAGCAACGUGCAGGUCACCAAGACCCUCAUCGACGACGACGCAGGGCUCAACGUCCUGUCCGUCGACACGUUCGACAACCUCCAAGUGCCAUAUGAGCAGCUCCAGCCUACCAAACCUUUCUCAGGAGUGACCGACGGUUCCACCACACCGAUAGGGCAGGUCCGCCUGCCUGUCACCUUCGGAGAGCGCAAGAACUACCGCACCGAGCUCAUCGACUUCGGCGUCACACACAUCCGCCUGCCGUACAACGCCAUCCUUGGGUAUCCGGCCCUGGCCAAGUUCAUGGUGGUCACCCACCACGGCUACAACGUCCUCAAGAUGCCGGGGAGUGGCGGAAUCAUCAUGGUCCCAUGUGAAGAGAGAGAUGCGGUCUGCUCCCUCGAGCGCGCCUUCCAAGCUGCAGCAAUCAACGACCCCGACAGCAAAAAGGAGGACCCCUCGGAGACAAUCCCCAAGAAGAAGCAGCUGCGCCACGCAGGACCUCAGGAGGAUGGCGUCGCGGCAAGAGCCUCAUCAAGAUCAGCGUCCGUCCCAGGGGCGCCUCCCUACAUCGCAUAGGGAGGUGCACCCGGCGCCCUCCUCGGGUAGGGCUCGGGGGCUCUUUUCUGGAGGGCCUCAGACCUUGCCAACCUCACGAGGGAGGCGCUUGGGCACCACUUGGAGGCAUGUUUCGCGGCACGUUUCCCUCAGGAGAACACAGGGCAAGGAGCGCCCACCACUCAGGAGUUUAUCGCCAAGACCACUCAGGAGCUGCAAGACGCAAGAGCCAUGCACGGCGACAGCCGCUCACGAGGCGCAGCUCCCCAUCCUGGCGAGGAUGAUGGGCUGCGUGUCUGCAUCGACGUCCCAGGGCUCAACAGGGCCGCAUCUCAGGAGCGCUUCUGGCCUUCGCGUGUGGGCCGCUGCGAGAGCCUGCCACACAGCUACGUUCGCAUGCCCUUCGGCUUGCCGAGCGUGGCGUCAACCUAUCAUCGCAACAUGCGACGUGUCCUCGCGGCUCAGGAGGCCAGGUACCAUGUCGUUCUGGAAGAGAUGGAGACAGUCUUUAGGGAACCUCCCGAGCCCCCAGAGUCUCCCGAGGCUCAGGGCUCCGGUGGCUCAUGAGGAGUCAUUUCUUCGACGCACGCCUUCAGUUGCACCAACUCUACUUUGUCUACAGAACCAGGUGACAUCUUCCAAGCUCGUUUAGCUAGGAUUCCCCUCGGGCUACAUUAUUCCCAGGCCGCGUGGGUCCGUCCCUACGGCAUGUAUCCCUUUUGCUUAUGUCUUUAGCUUACCUUACUGGGGGCACCCCUCGGGUUGCAUCAUCCCCGAGCCGCUCGGGCCGGAUCCGGUGGCAUGUAUCUUCCUGCAUCUACCCAAGUUGAUCUGCUUUCUAUGCUUAACCCGCUUACGGCUAUCGCCUGCUCGAUCAUCGCCUCCCACGGGGGCUCCUCACAGGCACGGCGUUGGAGCAUGGGUCCGUCCCUGCCACGUCAACAAAUCUGAGCGGUCGAGCUCUGGCACGCGGCACGCCGCACGCACGUCACCUCACCAGGCCCUCAGUGCCAUCACUUCAUCCAGACCAACCGGCAGCAGGCUGGCAGCCAUAACGGCAAACCGUGUUUCUUCUUGUUCCUAUUCACAGGGAUCCCAUGGGGAGGAUAAUAGGCGGCGCCGCGGGUCUCCUUUACUCUCAUGCAAUUUGCUUGCGCGUUAAAAGGGGGGCUCCUGAGAAUCACGACUCAGGAGCUCUUACUGGCUCUCCAGCCCUCACCCCCUGGCCUUGACCACGGCAUCGCGACCUGGCAUACCAGCGGCGGCUGAGCUCGCUCGAGGGUCGGGACCUGAGGACGUAGAGCACUAAGGAGAGCACGAGAGGAAGGAAACUCAUAUGGGCCGGCCUGGUUAUGCCGCACAAGUUGGCGCGCAGGCCUAGCGCACCAUCAGGAAUCGCCGCGAAGUCAACAAGAUAAGUCCCACUCUCGGAUCAGCUAAAUGUUGGGGCCUAAUGGUCACCCUCGCCUUGCCGCAACCCCGUUGCGGCCACGUCAACUCCCUUUCUCGCCCUACUAUGGCUGCUUGAGUGCUAAGGGGGACCUCCUGAGCAUCGCGCCUCAGGGGCUCUUACUGGACCUUGGGCCGUGCACCUCCUGGCCUUGACCACGGCACGCGACCUGGCAUACCAGCGACGGCUGUAGCCUACCUGGGGACCGGGACCUGUCAGCAUAGAGCAACGAGCUAUCGCGAGGAAAGAAAGGGGGGACCCAGCCUUAACGGGACAUGCGUUCACCAAAUUUGCAUAAUAGGGAAGAUAAGCACAAAAGACAUUACAGACCCUUACAUGCCCCCACGGGGUGAUUCAUGAUUCUUCGCAGGGAACAAAAGCUAAAACUAAGGGGAAUCCUAUCUACACCCUCCCGUGGCAGAUGGCAUCAUCAACAGUGGGCCACGGGAGGCCGGCGCCAAACCCAUCCAGAUUAGCAGCGGCGACGGCCGGACGCCGCAGCUCUGCUCCGAGCGCGGCGAGAGCUCAGGGGCACGUAGCUGUCAUCGCUCGUCUCCGGAGUCUCGUGGAGCUCAGGAGAGCUGCUGGACUCCCAAGGGCUAAUGCUGGUAGAGUAGCCGCGAGCGGGGGGCGCGUCAGCUUGGCGCUCCUCUCCGGAGCAGCACUCUAGGCGGCGGCCCUCAGCAUCGAAGACCUUGAAGAAGAGCGUGGAGGCGCCGUCGUACUCGAAGUGGAUCGCAAGGGCGCCCCUCGCACGGCAGACCCGCGCAAUCUCGCCCCAGCCGUGAGUCAUAAAGAUCUUGCCGGUGGGGACUGCUUCGAUCUCUCCUCCGGUCACUGGAGCGCUGCAGUCGGCGUACUGCAACCAGAGAUCGAGAGGCCCCCUCAGCGGCAUCACGCCAGAGAAGAACCGUGGAAAGCGGAUCUAGGAGCUUGGAGGCAUCGGCGCCCACAGCACCAGCUCGCAUGAGGAGUCCGCGGCGUGGAUUCCGGGGGCGACGACGCGCGUCGCUGUGGCGCGGUGGCCCCGGGCGCGGCGUGGGCGACGCUGCUCGUUGCUCCGUCCUCCCGAGCCCUCGGCUCGGGCGUACAAGGGUAGCGGAUACCCCGGAGGAGGCCGCUCGCACCAGGGCCUCGUCACCACCUGCAUCGCCGCUUCAUCACGGCGGUGGACCGACCUCUUCUUCGGCGGAAGUGGCCCCGGGUCAUCGCGAGGGGUCUUUCCCUUCUCUACGGCGGAGAACCUUCUGAUAGGCGCCAUUGUCAUUAGUAGUGGAGCGAGGAAGAAGAAGCAAGCAAGCAAGCAGGGAUGAGAUGGGCAACGGGGGCUCCGCCCCCAUCCCCAUUUAUAGCAAGAGAAGGCCAACCGGCGCCUCCCACGAUCGCAGGUAAUGAUGGUUUUCCUUGCAUGUCGCAGGGACUAGUCAAGUCGUACAGUUGCCGAGGCAGCGUGGGGAAGCGAAGACGCCCACGUCCAAUCAAAUUCCACGCGUCAACCGAGGCCGCAGGCUUUUGGGGCCCGCGGUGCUCCGUACUUGACCCUUGGCUUCGCCGCGAAGCCAAGCCCAAGCGCACCUUGGGCCCGGGGGCUACUGUCGGUGUUCUGGGAACGGGGGUCCCCAGACUUGCCUGCCUGCGGCCCACGGCGUGGCUAAGUCAGCAGGCCGUACGGCCCAUCUUCAUCAACAAGCCAUCCAAGACCCUCGCGAGGGGCCAAGCCUCGCGAGGCGGACAAUGCAAGACCUUCUCAGGAGUGGUCUAGUCAGGCAGGCUCACGAAGAGCGGAGAUAUCAAGGCGGGGCAAACCUCACGAGGCUCUCGUGACGUGAGCCAUGACGAUUGACACCAGGCGGGCGCCAGCGCGCGCAGCGUCCUUGUUUCCUCUUUGGUGCUAAGGAGGCUAGCGCAGGCGAAGAGUACCGAGGCAUCAGGCAAUGGUUGCUAUAUUGGUGCAACGAGACCAAGACCAGGAGGACGGCAAGACGGAGGUCAUCGUGGAGCCCAGGACGGCGUCACCACCAGAGCCUUUCGCAGGCGAAGACCACUUUUGGUAGGAUAGCUUGUACUAGCUGCCCCCCUUCAAAUUUGCCCGCCGUUGUUGGCUCCCUUCCCGCUCAACAUUUGGGAAGAGGACCAGGGCCUAUAUAAGUAGAGCUAGCUACCACGGUAGGGGCAUCGAGCAGUUCAUCCAGCUCUCACCCGCUAAGUCACCAAGCACAAGAACACCUCAACCUCAGGAGGUUGUUCCUUCCCUUGUACUGUUCAUCAUUAGCCCAAGAGGCAAUCCAUCCACCACCACACUGGAGUAGGGUAUUACACCACAAUGGUGGCCCGAACCAGUAUAAAUCUCGUGUCUCUUUGUGUUGCGAGUUCGUCGAGUUCGUCCGCGAGAUCUUAGUGAGCUAGGGCGUAGAUCAGUAGGAGGGAAAGACUACGCGUGCACCCCAGUGUUCGAACCUUAAGGGUUUGCCGGAACCCCACAUCCGACAAUAUGCUUUGCUGUUGUUAUGAUAGAAGUGAGUUUGAUAUGCCAUGCUAGUAGAUGCUAUGAUGUUGUUCAUGCUUAGUUCCAUUUAUGAUUCUAGUUAAUAUCAUGCCAUGCUUAGAAGUUGUGUUGAAGUAGACUGUUGCAUAUGCUUGGUUCUUGCUUUGUCAUCUGUUUGUUUGGAUGCUAUGUAUUUGGUUGUCUUGCAAGUACAUUCAAUCUACUGACCUCGCGUGUCAUGCCAGUUUUGUAGGUCGUGCCCGAAUUGUUCGCUUGUUCCGUCGUGCUCGGCCGUAAUCUUGCCAGUCCUGUGAGUUGUGGAGCCCAGCCAGAGUUGAUGAGCCGCCAAACCAAGACUUCCGCCGCCAGUUAAAUAGACUUCCGCUGCCAUAUAAUAGCCUUAGGGCUAUGCCAGAUAAUUGUAUUCAUCAAUGAUGUAAUCUUAUACACAUGUAUUUGAUGAUUAUUAUUGUACUUAGAAUGCUGUACCAUGGACGUGUCGUGCGUCAGACGUUAUCCUGGGCUGACGUGCGAAGGCCCCCUGCUCCAUGCGGAUCGGGGUGCCACAGGAGAUGGUAUCAGAGCAGCCAGGCUAGCAUAGGUUAUCCUAGCAUUAGAUCACUGCUACCAUCAACCCAUAAUGACCCUAAGGGAUUUGACCCAUCCCUGGCAUCCGGCAUGGCCACUGUUAAUCAACAGGUGGCGUAGUCGGGACCGACACGUCCUCACCCCGCAGUCCCCGCAUAGUUAUCCGUGGAACGAAUAGCAACCAUAUCCUUUCUGGUCGGCCACACCGCUUACCCUUCGCCAUUAAGGGAAAGGGGCCACACCAUGCGGGCAUGUCCCGCAUAGCUGCCUAUAAAACCCUUUUCCACCAGUCGUAUCGCUCACCCCUCAGUCGGCCAUGUCCCUGCAGAGAAGCCUAGCUAGUAACACUCCAGCCAUGACUAGCACCUUCAAAGCUCCCAAGUUUUACACCCGCACCUAUGCCGUCAACCAUACUGGCUUUCCACCCCUUCUUGCCGAGAUACUCACCAAAGCAUUUGGCUGUAAUGCUAGCCCCGAUUACCUGGUGUUCCAAUCGACACCCGUCCAUCACCUUCACCGCUAUGAUGCAAGAGUGCACAUCGGCCCAGGUUCCGCAGUAGAUGGCCAGCCUUUGGUUUUUCAGGGUAGAGCCAUGCCUACCACUGAUUUAGCCAUUCAAGCCGCUGCUGUGGAGGCUAUCCUAUACCUCCGCACCAAGUUUCCGCAAGUGCAACAAAGGCGGGAGUUCUGCUUUUUCCCCAUUGUGGCCGAAGGAGGAAUUCAGCCUUCUCCCACUAUCCAAGGAGAUGACCCCGCAAUCGCUCUCCUGGUGCAAUAUAUCACUGCCCAGGGGAUGAUGAUUUCAAAGAUGCUUGUCGAGUGUAGAAACCUCGACAACGAUCCGGUACGAGUUGUCAGGGAAGCUUAUCGUGCGGCUCGUAAAUUCGCAUCUCAAGCCGUUUUCCCAAUGCCAUCCAAACCAGUGCUACCCUCUCAGCCUGUGCUGUGUCCUAAGCCAAACAUCACCACCCUCGACAAGGCUCUUUUCCGAAUCCACCAGCAGCAUCUGCUUGGAUCAAUUUUAGCCACACCUCCAGCAGAAGAGCCCCAACCCAUAGUAGUGUCGGACGAUGAAGAUGGAGAUUGGUUCAGUCUUCGUCCUCCCGGAGAGCCCCAGCAAGGCCAGCCCUCUGCAUGACCUCAGUCACGCAGUCAGGUGUUUCUGCGAGUAGGUCGGUAUGUCGGUUCACCCUCGAUAUGAGGAUAGAACCAUGUAUCCCGGAGUGCAUAGUUUCGAUUAGCGCGUAGCGCAUUCGUGCUUGGUUGUAUGUUGGUACUGUGGUAACCCGCAUGCUGUGGUUUAUGUAUGCUUGCUUGCUUUUGUUUGUGUCUUUGUGUUUUCUUAUCUCUCUGUCAAACAAAGAUGUUUGACAGGGUUGGCAAUGCGUGCUAACAAGAUUUUAAUCAGUAGAGCACAUACACUAAAAACAAGAUUGACUCGUUCUGAGUCUAUAAUAAAAUGCGCGCUGGUGUAGGUAUAUGUAUACCAGGAGUACAUAUACCCACUGGCAUUAAAACACCUUAGUGUGCUUUGUCUGGUGUGUUUUUCUGUUGCAUGUAUGUUGCAUCUGUUUGUUUGUUAGUUUAGACUGCACUGCACCCUGCACGCAGCCCUGGUUCACUCACGAGUACUUUUGCACAGUACUCGGGAAAUGCAAAGUCACAUCCCUAUCUCUAUCUGUGCAUACCCCGUGUGCCAGAUUUUCAAACCCAGAACCUCGAGGAGACAUUUUCAUCUGGCCAUUUCUCGUCCCUAAUUCUUUUCCAUUAACCCAAUUGCGUUUCCGGAGAAACGUUGCCAGCUUUAUUUCCCUCGAUCCAGUACAACUCCCCGAUACAGAUUUCAACUCCGAUUCUACCUCGACACCUACAUUUCGUGGAGCUAUCCGCGAAAUUUUACCCGUGCCCUAGUCUGACUCCUGAGCUGGCGCAGCCACCUCACCCGCAUCCGAACCCCAUCAUCAUCACCAUCACCGCCUUGCAUGGCAUCGGCCAGUCGCCGCCACCGCAGCACGCGAUUACUCCGUCGGCGCGAAGCGAUGGAGAAUCAAGCGUGGCGGAGGACCACCCUGUGCACCAUCUUCUUCCACACCUGAGCCACCGCACCCAGUCGCGCGUUGCCUCGAGCCCGCUCGUUCCUGAUGAGUAUCACCAGGAGGAACAACGCGCCGAUCAGAGUGCCCAGCAUCGCAGCUAGGAACCACCGCAGCGCCACCAGGAACACGGCCUCGCCGAAGGAGCUCGGCUCGAUCCCUUCCAAACCAAAGAGGUAGUAGAGCGGCAUGGUGUUUGUGUGUUGGAGGAGAGCCGCGCUGCCGCUUUUAUAGCCCAACCCCGGUGUACGGUGAGCGAGGUCCAGGAAAACCGCUCGUCGCUCGAUCACCGGCGUCCUGGAGGCGAAUCCGCGAGCAGUGCCGACAAGGUGCUGGCCCGCGACAUGAGUGUGCACCGGCGCCGUGCAUGCCGUGCACUAUGGCUCUAGGGUCCUCAUUGCCCUAGGAGCUAGAUGCGCGCUGCGCCAAGCCACACGCGAAGCAGCAGCACAGAAGAAGCAGUUAGCCGUAGGUAAAAGAAGGAGGCUGCGAGUGGGCCCUGGACCCACGUGUCAACAGGUGAAUCCACUGUUCACUGGGAUGCAUCUAGCAGAUUUCGAGAGUUUGAUCUCGAGUGCCCCUAGCCGUGGAUAUAACCGUGUUUGCCCAUAUCUCUCGGGGUGUACCAAUUAUCGGUGCCCCCAACUCGUUCGAAUUUGACCAAAGGGUUAAAAUUAACCCAGAGGAUUUUCCCCGGAGUGGUUAUCUUUCAAUUGUGCUAUAACCCUAGCAAUCUCGAGGACGAGAUUCUUUUUAAGGGGGGAAGAGUUGUAACAGCCCCAAAAUUGGGCUAUCAAUUUUUGUGCUGUUAUUCUCUCCUGGCACUCAUUUUCAAAAUCUUUCUCCUGAGCUUGUUGGAUGACUCUGAAUUUCCAAACCUUUCAAAACCUUGCUCAUGUCUUUGUCAGUGGGCAAGACCUCAUUUGCAUCAGUUCAAACCCUAAUUCCAAAAAAAAAUUGGAAUCUGAAUAUGGCCUUUGUGAUUACAAAGGAGCUAUCAUUUUCCUUGAGCUGUUGAUCAUCCCAUCUGUUCUUAGAGACCCUCCUAUCCUUGUAAACCUUGGAUAUGCAAAAAUAUUGCCAAGUCCCAUGCAAUAUUUUUGAAUUAUGAUUUAUUCCUUUUCUUGCCUUUCUGAGGAAUAAAAUCUAAAGGCAUAGCUAGCCAUCUCCUAAAUUCAUGUGAAUUGGUGGAGUUGAUAUUUAUGCCUAAUCCAAGCUCUGGCAAAUAUAUUGGCCAUAAUUAAAUAAGGAAAAAUGUCUUUUCCUAUUUAAUACCAAUAUUGCAUUUCUGCCAUUCCCACAUAAAUUGUGGAGCUUGUCCUUGCUAUAUAAUCACUAGUUCCAUUCUUGUAUCAUGUUCCACAGAUCAAAAAUUGGGUACAUGAUCCAAUGCAAGUUCUGCCUUCUCUGAAAUUUUGCAAAGGAAGUGCCUUAUUCCUAAUUCCUAUUGAGCUGCAAUUUGGUAGGGCGAUUAACAUUGAUAAAUCAUCCAUGGAUACCAAAUAUGAGCUGAAUCCAUUCAUCCUAGCUCCCUAUGCAAUGUUUCAAAGUUUCUGACCAGAAUACAACUUUGUGAAGGAAGUACCUUCAUAGAGUUUACAAAUGGGAUGAAACUUUGCCAUACUCUCAAGUAUUCCAAAUCAUUAGCCUCAACCUAAAUUCAGUUCAUUUCAUUGAACUAUGUGAGCACAGGAGCAAUUCUUGUUUUCUGUCCAAAUUUUCAGUUUGUGAAGCAAGUAUAUUCUAUCUUGCUCCAUUAUGGCUGAAAAUAUUUCCAAGCCUUCUCCUAUCCAUAUAACCCACCAACCCAAGAGUUUGGCUCAUUUCAUGUAGCCAAUAUUUUCCCAGAAUUUUCCAAAGUUUCUGGUCAGAAGAGAUGCUUGUGAAACAAGUACCAAUUUGGCAAGUCCAUUUGAUAUGAUAUUUUUGCAGCAUCUACAUAUGACCAAAUCAUCAAGCUUUGCCAAGUUUUAGCCCAAUCCAGCACUCCUAGUGAGUCCUCCUUCAUCAUUUGAUUUUUGGACCAGGUUUGGCAUUUGUACUGCAACUAUGCUAUAUCCUUGUCGUAAUGAACCCCAACUUCCCAGGACCGUAGUCGUUGCUACCGUAAACCUCCCAAACAUCCCGUUUAGUUCUUAAUCUCACCAGUUAGAUCACCAAGAUGUGGCCAAGUUUGCAACAGCAAACUUGUCGAGCUUGUUCCCCUCUGCUCCCUACACUUCUGCUUGUGCCAUCACCUCUUCUUUAAUGAGCCUUGGAGGGACUCCACUGAUGACAAGGGUUGGCAUGAGGUAGAUGGCCAGAGCGCGUUUUCUCCUUGGUGACACGGGCAUUGCCAGCAAAAUCGGUGGUCAAGCCACUGUUCUCGUCGGCAGCCCUGCUCCGGCCGGUUCUGGCUUGUCCAAGCGUGUCACACAGCUUCCCCUCGAUGUUGUCUUCCCCCUCGAGCUCGUUCCCCCUUCGUUUGCUUCCUCGUUGAGCCGUCACCGUCGCCGAACACAGUGAGCGCCCGUGUGCGCCGUUGUUUCCUCACUCCUGUCCGCGAACUUUGCUCGAUUUUGUGACCUCCUGGCGCUCGUCCGCGUCCCCCUCGUCGCCUUGCCGCCCCUUCCCGUGAGUCUUGGCUGCCCGUGCGCGUCGCCGGCGCACGGACACUUAGCCGUGUCGCGUGUCACCUCCUCCCCUCCCUCUCGAGCCUUCCCGGCGGCUAAUUAAGCAUGCCUCGAGCUUCAUCGCGUUCCACAACCCCCUCCGAGAGCCUCUCCCCGAGCCCAGAGCCCCUCUCUGAUCCCCACCGCCGCUAUGGUCGCUGCCUCGGGUCCCUUUGAUUCCGGCGACCAGGAGUCCCCCUCGCCGUUCCACCUCCACCACGGCAUCACCUGAGGUCCGGCGAGCCUCCCCGUGGCCUCAGCCUCGCUGUUCCCCCACCGGAGCACCCUGUUCGCUGGCGGCCGAAGCCACCUCCGCCGCGAGCCCUGCUGCUCCUUUCCCAAUCCCCCUCACUGGCAACGGAGACCACCCCGAGAUGCGCCUCUCGCUCCUGAACUCGUGGGUAGGUCAGCUGUCGUCUGCGAUGGCCAGAGUCGCCAGCAAUAGCUGUCGAGGCGAGCCCCUCCCUCGGCUAGGCGCGCGCAUGAGCGGGAGGUUGAAGACGCCAGGCCAGGCAGGCCCCUCCCCGCGUGACCCCACCUGGCAGCGUCUCGGCGUUGACCCUGCCCCGGGCCCGCGUCUGUAAGUGGAAGUGCAUUCUGGAUAUGCGUUUUCGAUAUACGAAAGCGUAUUUUCUUCCUCUUUUACCUAAAAUACGCUUUCAUAGUUCUGAAAGCGUAUCCGCUUUGCACUUCAGCUCAAAAUACGUUUCUCUUUGCAGAAAACGUAUUCGACCCAAAGGCGCGUUCAUUUUUUCCUCCAGGGGCCUGUUUGCUGGAAAAAAUUCACCGAUAGGUCCCUGAGCUUCAACCCUUGGUAUCUCGACAACCGUAACUCCGAUUGAGGUGAUUCCAACGCUCACGUUCUCUGUUCGUCGAGCUUUUUCCGUUGGUAUCAUUUUCAUAAUGUUUUCACACAGUGAAAAUGACCACUUUGCCUUGCCCGUACACAGCCCCCUCCAAGAGAGAACUGUUUCCGGCAACUGUUUCCGCGAUCGUUUCACACUUCUUCCCGAAGUAUUUGUCGACCCCAGGCAAGCCAACCUCUUAUCAUGAGCCCCGAAAUUGCAUGUUGACUUUGCUUGCACCUCAUGUGUGUGUUUAGUUGUAGUACUUUCUUGUCUGUUCCGUCUGCUGUUAUUUUAGUCGUGCUAUAUGUUUUUGUUAUCUGUCUUGCAUGCUUAUACCUUCAUGAAAUAAGUUGACGUGCUAGUUUGCUGUUGUUACUGAUAAUAUCAUGCCUCUGUCUAGUUUAUUUUCAUGUUAGUAGUAUAGAUGUUAUGAUAUUCUGUUGCACUAGUGAAAUUACUAGUACUUGUUAUUGCCAUGUUUCGCAUGCUAUCAUUGUUCAUUUGAAAAAGCUUGAUUUUGUUACUGCAUCGGUACGUUGCAUGAUAGUUGUUGCAUUCAUGUUAAAAUGCUCGCAUGAUGAUUGAUGAUGGAGAAGUUAAUAAUAUGACUUAAUAUCAAACCUCCUCCGUCAUCACUAGGAUAUCAUAGUGCCACCAAAUCGAGCUUUCUCUAGGGCAACCACAUUUACCUUGUGGGAGGUCCUAGCUGGGUUUAUUGCCAUGCCUCUCACCAGUGCCUCCAACUAGGGAAGGUUAUGGGCGCGCCUUACCCUGAUCAGGUAGGCGGACAUAAGCCUUGUGUGCCCGGGUUUGGUUUUGAGCUCAUGUCCCCGUUUGGGACCGUUUUGCCACGACGGUUGGCGUUGGUACCUUUGGUAGGUACGGGGCCACCUAGGACUGAACCCAAAAGGGGUCUUGGUCGGAGUGGCCGGGAGAGUGUCAUGGUAGUAGGUCAGUUUUGUCGGAACGCCGUUGGUCCACACGUAUGGGAGUGCGAGGCCAUGGGUUCAGUGGUGUGGGUAAAGUGUGCUACCUCUGCAGGGUGUAUGUUUAAUCUACCGAUAGCCGCGUCCUCGGUCAUGGGCACAAGUUCGUAGUAGGUCACACUAUCGGGUCUUGGUCGAAGUGGAGGAUAAACCUGAAAUAACUAAGUUGAUGAUUAAUAUGCAAUAAAAGAAUGUGAUGACUUGGACU
rnacentral:lncRNA from 1 species